rnacentral:rRNA from 1 species
CGAACGGGUGAGUAAUGCGUGACCAACCUGCCCCAUGCUCCAGAAUAGCUCUUGGAAACGGGUGGUAAUGCUGGAUGCUCCAACUUGACGCAUGUCUUGUUGGGAAAGUGUUUAGUGGCAUGGGAUGGGGUCGCGUCCUAUCAGCUUGUAGGCGGGGUAAUGGCCCACCUAGGCUUCGACGGGUAGCCGGCCUGAGAGGGCGGACGGCCACAUUGGGACUGGGACACGGCCCAAACUCCUACGGGAGGCAGCAGCG